rnacentral:tRNA from 1 species
GGAUUGUGGUUCAGUGGAAGAGCACUUGCCUAGCAUGUGGGAGGCAUUGGGUUCGAUCCUCAGCACCA